rnacentral:rRNA from 1 species
GACGAACGCUGGCGGCGUGCCUAAUACAUGCAAGUCGAACGAAGCUGUUUUAACUGGUGCUUGCACCGACUUAAACAACUGAGUGGCGAACGGGUGAGUAACACGUGGGUAACCUGCCCCAAAGCGGGGGAUAACAUUUGGAAACAGAUGCUAAUACCGCAUAACCACAGAAACCACAUGGUUUCUGUGUCAAAGAUGGUUUCGGCUAUCACUUUGGGAUGGACCCGCGGCGUAUUAGCUAGUUGGUAAGGUAAUGGCCUACCAAGGCAAUGGUACGUAGCCGAACUGAGAGGUUGAUCGGCCACAUUGGGACUGAGACACGGCCCAAACUCCUACGGGAGGCAGCAGUAGGGAAUCUUCCACAAUGGACGAAAGUCUGAUGGAGCAACGCCGCGUGAGUGAAGAAGGUUUUCGGAUCGUAAAACUCUGUUGUCAGAGAAGAACGUGUGCGAGAGUAACUGUUCGUGCAGUGACGGUAUCUGGCCAGAAAGCCACGGCUAACUACGUGCCAGCAGCCGCAGUAA